rnacentral:rRNA from 1 species
GUGGGGAAUUUUGGACAAUGGGCGCAAGCCUGAUCCAGCAAUGCCGCGUGCAGGAAGAAGGCCUUCGGGUUGUAAACUGCUUUUGUCAGGGAAGAAAUCUUCUGGGCUAAUACCCCGGGAGGAUGACGGUACCUGAAGAAUAAGCACCGGCUAACUACGUGCCAGCAGCCGCGGUAAUACGUAGGGUGCGAGCGUUAAUCGGAAUUACUGGGCGUAAAGCGAGCGCAGGCGGCGUUGCAAGACAGAUGUGAAAUCCACGGUCUCAACCUGGGAACUGCAUUUGUGACUGCAAGGCUAGAGUACGGCAGAGGGUGAUGGAAUUCCGCGUGUAGCAGUGAAAUGCGUAGAUAUGCGGAGGAACACCAAUGGCGAAGGCAAUCCCCUGGGCCUGUACUGACGCUCAUGCACGAAAGCGUGGGGAGCAAACAGGAUUAGAUACCCGAGUAGUCC